rnacentral:lncRNA from 1 species
AUGAGAUGUGUCUUAAGAGGAACCCGCCUGAGGGCGGGCUUGCUUCUACAGACGGUCUUACCGGGCGGAACACGGACAGUCACCAGCAGUGGGGCUGCUGGAGUGUCCUCAGUGGGCUGUGGUCAGUGGAGUGUGGCUGGUAGGUGCACCUCCUGUGGCUCCCAGAGGGGAGGAAAAUGGAGCGAGACCCCCAGACAGAGGCAGACGGGCCGAGCUCGAGGGCGACGCGUGAGGGGCCAGUGCGCCCUUUCCUUCGGGUUAGGGAGGUUUUUCUUUUCAGCAGAGGAGCAGUUGUGGUCAGGCUGCCAGUCAGACUUCUGUGUCCCGGGACAGCAGAAGACUCAGGCCCUCGGAAGUUUGAUUCUGCACAAGAGCAGACCCGGCCAUGAGGACAGGAGCAGGGGUCAACUUCCCCGAAGAGUCUGGGUGAGCUGUUUACCCCAGGCAGGCGGGGAAGCCUUGCCUCUCUCGUGGUGUCUGGCGCUUAGGCAGGAGGAUCCUGAGAUGCCUUCCCCACACGUCUGGCCGGCAGUGAUGGCUGCGGGCCUGGGCCCAGCGGGGCGAUUGGCAGGUCACGCGCACGCGGGCUCCCGCGGCCUGCACACGGCGGCCGGGUCUGCGUGUGAGCACGUGAGGCGGUGGAAGACCCCGGGCUCUGAUGACCCCGCCCCGGAGGUCGUGCAGUGUGAGCCCUGCGGCUUCCUCUUGGUCCCCUCGCAGCUGCGGCUCCCUGCUGUCCCGAGUCCCGAAGCCUGGUCACACGUGGGGCUGCCCCGCUCGGGGGCGCGUCGACGCAGCCGUGCCAGGGAUUGUGCAGUGCAUGACACGCACCGCCGUCUGGGCGGCCCUGCCCUAUGCUCCCUCCUGCCCCCUUCCCCCUGA